GACGAACGCUGGCGGCGUGCUUAACACAUGCAAGUCGAACGCUGAAGCUCAGCUUUUGUUGGGUGGAUGAGUGGCGAACGGGUGAGUAACACGUGAGUAACCUGCCCCCUUCUUUGGGAUAACGCCCGGAAACGGGUGCUAAUACUGGAUAUUCACUGGUCUUCGCAUGGGGGUUGGUGGAAAGGGUUUUUCUGGUGGGGGAUGGGCUCGCGGCCUAUCAGCUUGUUGGUGGGGUGAUGGCCUACCAAGGCUUUGACGGGUAGCCGGCCUGAGAGGGUGACCGGCCACAUUGGGACUGAGAUACGGCCCAGACUCCUACGGGAGGCAGCAGUGGGGAAUAUUGCACAAUGGGCGCAAGCCUGAUGCAGCGACGCCGCGUGAGGGAUGGAGGCCUUCGGGUUGUGAACCUCCUUCGCUCAUGGUCAAGCCGCAACAAUGGUUGUGGUGAGGGUAGUGGGUAAAGAAGCGCCGGCUAACUACGUG
rnacentral:rRNA from 1 species